rnacentral:rRNA from 1 species
CGGAGUUAGCCGGUGCUUAUUCAUAUGAUACCGUCAUUAUCUUCUCAUAUAAAAGGAGUUUACGCACCGAAAUGUGUCAUCCUCCACGCGGCGUUGCUGCAUCAGACUUUCGUCCAUUGUGCAAUAUUCCCCA